rnacentral:rRNA from 1 species
UGCCAGACUCCUACGGGAGGCAGCAGUGGGGAAUAUUGCACAAUGGGGGAAACCCUGAUGCAGCGACGCCGCGUGAAGGAAGAAGUAUUUCGGCAUGUAAACUUCUAUCAGCAGGGAAGAAAAUGACGGUACCUGACUAAGAAGCCCCGGCUAACUACGUGCCAGCAGCCGCGGUAAUACGUAGGGGGCAAGCGUUAUCCGGAAUUACUGGGUGUAAAGGGAGCGUAGACGGUUAAGUAAGUCUGGAGUGAAAGGCCGGGGCCCAACCCCGGGACUGCUCUGGAAACUAUUGAACUUGAGUGCAGGAGAGGUAAGCGGAAUUCCUAGUGUAGCGGUGAAAUGCGUAGAUAUUAGGAGGAACACCAGUGGCGAAGGCGGCUUACUGGACUGUAACUGACACUGAGGCACGAAAGCGUGGGGAGCAAACAGGAUUAGAUACCCCAGUA